UGGGGAAUUUUGGACAAUGGGGGAAACCCUGAUCCAGCCAUCCCGCGUGUGCGAUGAAGGCCUUCGGGUUGUAAAGCACUUUUGGCAGGAAAGAAACGUCAUGGGUUAAUACCCCGUGAAACUGACGGUACCUGCAGAAUAAGCACCGGCUAACUACGUGCCAGCAGCCGCGGUAAGACGUAGGGUGCAAGCGUUAAUCGGAAUUACUGGGCGUAAAGCGUGCGCAGGCGGUUCGGAAAGAAAGAUGUGAAAUCCCAGAGCUCAACUUAGGAACUGCAUUUUUAACUACCGGGCUAGAGUGUGUCAGAGGGAGGUGGAAUUCCGCGUGUAGCAGUGAAAUGCGUAGAUAUGCGGAGGAACACCGAUGGCGAAGGCAGCCUCCUGGGAUAACACUGACGCUCAUGCACGAAAGCGUGGGGAGCAAACAGG
rnacentral:rRNA from 1 species